rnacentral:rRNA from 1 species
GACAGAGGGUGCAAACGUUGUUCGGAAUUACUGGGCGUAAAGCGCGUGUAGGCGGCUCGGAAAGUCGGGUGUGAAAGCCCUGGGCUCAACCCAGGAAGUGCACUCGAAACUUCCAAGCUUGAGUUUUGGAGAGGAAGGCGGAAUUCUCGGUGUAGAGGUGAAAUUCGUAGAGUAUCGGAAAGGAACAUCAGUGGCGAAAGCGGCUUCCUGGACCAGCACCGACGGUUCAGGCACGAAAGCGUGGGGAGCAAACAGG